AUGUCGAAUCCGGCAAUAGCCGGGGCAUCCUCGUACGUACUCCCGGCACGUCGCCGGCAGGCGGGCAGUCGUCUCCCUGCGGCAUCGCGGUCGCUGUUCGUGUCCAAGUCUGGCUCGCACCAGCACCGAGCAAACCCUCUUCGCCUCGCCUCCGUCCAUGAUGCCGGGCACCCUUCCACCGAAGCACGCCGGGGAGAAUUCUUCCCACCCGGCCAUUAUCCCACUCCUCCCUUCUACCUGAUGUACGCGAGGACCCGGAUAACUGUUCCUUCCUGUUUAGGUCUAGUAGAGGCAGAUCGUCCAAGCAAACAAAAUGCAGAGGCACAAGCACCAAUUCCCAGACAACGUAUCAAGGCUGGCGACGAACCAAGCAAGCUUUCCCACAUGAUCGAGACCAUCCGAGUGGCGUUGAGUUCGAUGGGUGGAGGCGAGAUAUCUGUUUCAGCCUACGACACUGCCUUCAUCGCCCUUGUCAAGAACCUAGACGGAGGUGAUCGGCCACAGUUCCCCUCCAGCAUUGACUGGAUCAUUCAAAACCAGCUACCAGAUGGUUCGUGGGGUGAUAGCUCAUUUUUUCUGGUCCAAGACCGACUUAUGAACACCCUAGCAUGUGUUGUGGCGUUGACGUCAUGGAACCUUUACGUUGACAAGUGCGAGAAAGGCAUGCAUUUUAUCAGAGAAAAUAUAUGGAGAUUGGCAGAAGAGGAAGAAGAUUGGACGCUAAUCGGCUUCGAAAUUUGCUUCCCCUCGCUCCUAUGCAUGGCCAGGGACAUGGAUCUGGACAUUCCUCAGGAUGACCCUGCCUUCGAAGCCAUAUAUUCCAAGAGAAACCAAAAGCUCAAUAAGAUUCCUUCGGAUGUAUUGCACACUAUGCCAACGACUCUACUUCACAGUGUGGAGGGAAUGGCACACUUGGACUGGAAAAGGCUGCUUCCGUUGCAGUGUUCAGACGGCUCCUUUUUUUCAUCACCCGCAGCCACAGCUCACGCUUUGAAGGAAACAGGCGACCUAAAAUGCCUCAAUUUCCUUGACGAAGUCAUCAAAAGGUUUGAAGGCGGAGCGUCCUGUGUCCAUCCUGUGGAUUUAUUCGAGCGUUUAUGGGCGGUUGAUCGAUUGACGCGUCUGGGGAUAUCGAGGCACUUCACCAGGGAAAUCGAGGAGUGCUUAGAUUAUACUUACAGGUACUGGACUGAAAAUGGGCUGAGCCACGCAGGGUCCUGUGCAGCUUCGGAUAUCGACGAUACUGCGAUGGGCUUCCGUCUCCUCCGUUUGCAUGGCUACCAUGUCAAUCCAUGUGUGUUUAAGAAAUUCGAGAAGGACGGCGAAUUCUUCUGCUUCCCAAGGCAGUCGAGCCAAUCUGUCACGGCCAUUUACAACACAUACCGUGCUGCUCAGGUCGCGUUUCCUGGCAAGAAGGACGACGUCCUUCGGCGGGCCGAGCGGUAUUGCCGCACAUUUCUCCAGGAGAGGCGCGCCUCCAACAAACUCAGCGACAAGUGGGUCAUUCCCAAGGAUUUGCCAGGUGAGGUAGGAUACGCACUGGACUUCCCCUGGAAAGCAAGUUUGCCACGGAUCGAAACAAGGUUGUAUCUAGAGCAAUAUGGAGGCAGCGACGACGUGUGGAUUGGAAAGGUCCUCUAUAGAAUGCCUCUGGUCAACAAUGACCUGUACCUAAAGGCGGCGAAGGCUGAUUUCUACAAUUUCCAGCAAAUGUGCCGACUUGAGUGGCAUGACCUGAAAAGGUGGUAUGACAGGAAUAAUCUGCAAAUGCAUGGUCUGUCUGAAAGUAGCGCACUGAGAGCUUACUUCUUAGCUGCAGCCAACAUCUUUGAACCGAACCGAGCAGCGGAGCGCCUGGCAUGGGCUCGCACGGUGAUACUUACCGAUGUUGUCUCCGCCUACUUUCAACGCAACGGUUGUGCUCCGGACUUGAGAGAACGGCUUAGUACUAGUAACCUCACUCGCGACCGCCACCACAGUCUAUCAAGGGUAGCAAUAAUGGAUUGGACAGAAAAUAGCAUACUACAUGUUCUUCAGGAGCUGAUCAUGGACCUUGGCAAAUUUGACAGUGCCACCGACACUCUUCGCAAAGCUUGGAAGGAUUGGCUUAUGGCAUGGACUGCAGAGGAGAGAAGUGGACCAUGUGAAUGGAGUACAGCGUUGUUGUUAGUUCGCACAAUCGAGGUCUGCUCAGGAAGACACAAUUCGACCGACCAUCAGCUGAACGUUUGGGAGUAUACCCAGCUAGAGGAGCUCACAUCUUCAAUAUGCCGCAAACUCGCAUCUAGGGUUCUUGCAAAGCGUGGACAUAGAAUGGAAAACAUAGAGGAUAUAGACCGACAAGUGGAUUUGGAGAUGGGAGAACUCGCUCAUCACGCUCUCCAGAGCUGCAACGGUAUCAGAAAACUGACCGGGCAGACUUUUCUCCACGUGGUGAAGAGUUUCAACUACGUCGCCCUUUGCUCAUAUGAAACAAUUGAUUGCCAUAUCUACAAAGUCUUAUUGGAAGAUGUCAUUUGA
rnacentral:rRNA from 1 species